UACGGAGGGUGCAAGCGUUGUCCGGAAUCACUGGGCGUAAAGGGCGCGUAGGCGGCUCAUGAAGGCUGUGGUGAAAGUCCGGGGCUCAACCUCGGAUCGGCCGUGGCGACUCGUGGGCUGGAGCACUGUAGAGGCGGGUGGAAUUCCGGGUGUAGCGGUGGAAUGCGUAGAGAUUUGGAGGAACACCAGUGGCGAAGGCGACUUUCUGGUCUGUAACUGACACUGAGGCGCGAAAGCGUGGGGAGCAAACAGG
rnacentral:rRNA from 1 species